rnacentral:rRNA from 1 species
UGACCUCGGAUCAGGUAGGGAUACCCGCUGAACUUAAGCAUAUCAAUAAGCGGAGGAAAAGAAACCAACCGGGAUUGCCUUAGUAACUGCGAGUGAAGUGGCAAAAGCUCAAAAUUGAAAUCCGGUACCUUUGGUGCCUGAGUUGUAAUUUGGAGAGACAAAUUUGGUUGAUGGCACCGGCCUAGGUUCCUUUGAACAGGACGACAUAGAGGGUGAGAAUCCCGUGCCUGGCUGGGUUAUUUGCUGUCACACGCUAAAUUGUCUUCGACGAGUCGAGUUGUUUGGGAAUGCAGCUCAAAAUGGGUGGUAAAUGUCAUCUAAAGCUAAAUAUUGGCGAGAGACCGAUAGCGCACAAGUAGAGUGAUCGAAAGAUGAAAAGCACUUUGAAAAGAGAGUCAAAAAGUACGUGAAAUUGCUGAAAGGGAAGCGCUUGAGAUCAGACUCGAGCUGUGGUGAUCACCCGUGCUUCUGUGCGGUGUAACUUGCCACGGUUUGGGCCAGCAUCGGUUCUGGCGGUCGGAUAAAAGGUGGAGGAAUGUAGCUUCCCUCGGGGAGUGUUAUUUAGCCUCCACCACAAUGCGGCCAGCUGGGACCGAGGACUGCGUGGAAAUUUUCCGCUAGGAUGCUGGCGUAAUGGUCUUAAGCGACCCGUCUUGAAACACGGA